CCUACGGGGGGCAGCAGUGGGGGAUAUUGCACAAUGGGGGAAACCCUGAUGCAGCGACGCCGCGUGGGUGAAGAAGCGCCUCGGCGCGUAAAGCCCUGUCAGCAGGGAAGAAAAUGACGGUACCUGAAGAAGAAGCCCCGGCUAACUACGUGCCAGCAGCCGCGGUAAUACGUAGGGGGCAAGCGUUAUCCGGAUUUACUGGGCGUAAAGGGGGCGUAGACGGCGAUGCAAGCCAGGAGUGAAAGCCCGGGGCCCAACCCCGGGACUGCUCUUGGAACUGCGUGGCUAGAGUGCAGGAGGGGCAGGCGGAAUGCCUGGUGUAGCGGUGAAAUGCGUAGAUAUCAGGAGGAACACCGGUGGUGAAGGCGGCCUGCUGGACUGCAACUGACGUUGAGGCCCGAAAGCGUGGGGAGCAAACAGGAUUAGAUACCCGUGUAGUC
rnacentral:rRNA from 1 species